rnacentral:lncRNA from 1 species
GUGUGUGUGUGUGUGUGUGUGUGUGUGUGUGUGUCUGUGUGUGUGUGUGUGUGUGUGUGUGUCUGUGUGUGUGUGUGUGUGUGUGUGUGUGUGUGUGUGUGUGUGUGUGUGUGUGUGUGUGUGUGUGUGUGUGUGUGUGUGUGUGUGUGUGUGUGUGUGUGUGUGUGUCUGUGUCUGUGUGUGUGUGUGUGUGUGUCUGUGUGUGUGUGUGUGUGUGUGUGUGUGUGUGUGUGUGUGUGUGUGUGUGUGUGUGUGUGUGUGUGUGUGUGUGUGUGUGUGUGUGUGUGUGUGUGUGUGUGUGUCUGUGUGUGUGUGUGUGUGUGUGUGUGUGUGUGUGUGUGUGUGUGUGUGUGUGUGUGUGUGUGUGUGUGUCUGUGUGUGUGUGUGUGUGUGUGUGUGUGUGUGUGUGUGUGUGUGUGUGUGUGUGUGUGUGUGUGUGUGUGUGUGUGUGUCCUACUGCUGCUGUUUCAUAAUCACUACAGGGUUGAAUACAUUUGACCGUCAUGUUUGGACACAAAAAAGUAACAGCUAAGUCUUGUACAUAAUGUUGUAAACCACAAAACCUUGUCUGUGAUUAUUUUGCUGGUAGAGUCGCAAUAUUGGUAAGAUAGAGCUGAAACAUCUAGUUGAGUCCUACUCUAGUAUUAUGAUACCAUAUGUGUAUUAAUUCUACAGCAGGCCUCAUAGGUGUAAACUCCAUAGGUGUGGUAAUUGCUCCACCUUUAAGCAGGCGUAAAUGGAACUCAAUUCCCCUUUAAUGUAUUUUUUUCUCGAUGCGUAUUCUGACCGUGAACUUAAGCAUGAGAAUAGCAUGAUAUUCACCUGCUAUUUGUUUAGGGUAGACAUCAAUGAAAUGAAGGUGUGGCGGAGGUAGGUUUACAGAUACACAGUAUUCUGGCUUAGACUUAAUUCCACCACCUUUACGUUGCAAGGAAAGGUCGAGCAAACCUUUCAGUUCCAAGUGGGAAAAGCAUCGACUUAAUUUCCCUGAUAGAAAUAACAGCAUUCUCCAUGCACAUGACGUAUUGUGGCCCCUUUUCCGCAGUGAAGUAGGUUAUAAAGAGCUGUGCCAUUAUUCAGAAUGUUAGUCGAAUGCCCUCAUAAUUAUGCGUGGAUGAAAUGGAGAUCCAAGCUACACGCUUCUGUAGGGCAAACUUGUGAAUGUUUUAGUUAUAUGCCAGGGCUUUUCUCCGUUGUAUUUGACAAUUUGUAUCAUGUUAAAUAUUGGCCACUAUCGGGAGACACCCGUCAGUGCAUACAUAUACAUCUGUCACUUUAGUGUUAUUUUCCUUCUAUUUGUAGCCUAUUGAUUCGUUCCAAUCCAUGUAUUUUUCUUUCCUCUGUUAUGUCCAUGGAGUUGUUCCUGAGGGUUGCUAGCAUUAGUGGAUCAUAUAGACCCUUUUUCCCCCCCCGGAUGCACGCGACUCUUGGCGCCAGUAAGAAAGCCAUCACCAUCUGCGCCCAUUCAAGCCUAGAUUUAAGGUUGUAUUACUUCUAAACAAAAUAUAAGUUCUCAUAUGCUUACAAUGAUGUUUUGAUUCUUGCUUGAACAGUAGCUAGGAUUAUAUUUGGUUGUGAGCUUUGCAAAAUAACUAUUUUGGAUGCAGCGGUUGUUAGCUAGAAUGCUAAUGCUCAUUGUUAUAGGCUGUAGCAAAAAUAUAGCCAGAGAACCAUUUUACUGGUUGAAGUUGGCCCAGCAACCUUUUUGUUACUGGCCCAACGCUCCUACCCGCCAGGCUACCUGCCUCCCCCAUUAAACAUAUUCAGUGUGUGCAAGGUAGACACACACCUGUAGAGCACAUUACGCUCCUGCAUUAGCUCCCUUGAAUGAGACAUUAGCUCCCCUGAAUGAGACAUUAGCUCCCCUGAAUGAGACAUUAGCUCCCCUGAAUGAGACAUUAGCUCCCCUGAAUGAGACAUUAGCUCCCCUGAAUGAGACAUUAGCUCCCCUGAAUGAGACAUUAGCUCCCCUGAAUGCAACAGAAGUCAAACUGGGAGAGGGAGGUCUCUAAAUAAUGCUAAUUUCACCAUUCUUCUGUUUGUUUAAAAUGUAGUGGUAAAUAUGUUUUACAGCACUAAAUAUUAAAACUUCCAUAUGAAACAAACAUCCCCACCUCUGUCAUGGUUUAAACCAUUUAUUUCUGUUUUAUUCAUAGGGAACAAUGCACAUUAAUAUUACAAUAAUGAAACAUCCAUAUAAAAUGUGCCAGGGUUAGCCAAAAGCUAAUUUGCGCCCGUAGUCCCAGGGCAGGUAAGGGCAAUUACACACUCACACCACAAAUACUCACACAACAAAAAAUACUAAAUACAAAUACAUUACAUCCAAUAACAUAUAAUUCUAACAACAACAACAAUAUCAUCAACUGUUGUCUUACAUAUGAGGAACCAUAGAUAACUCAGGUGUACAGGUUUGGAUAGAUUUUAGCUAUGUUUUCAAUU